rnacentral:rRNA from 1 species
GAUGAACGCUGGCGGUAUGCUUUACACAUGCAAGUCGUACGAGAGUUUUUAACUCUAGUGGCGGACGGGUGAGUAACACGUAAGAAUUUGCCUUUAGGAGGGGGAUAACAACUGGAAACGGUUGCUAAUACCCCAUAUGCUUUCGAGUGAAACGGAUUUCCGCCUAAAGAGAAGCUUGCGGCUGAUUAGCUUGUUGGUGAGGUAAUGGCUUACCAAGGCGACGAUCAGUAUCUGGUUUGAGAGGACGAUCAGACACACUGGAACUGAGACACGGUCCAGACUCCUACGGGAGGCAGCAGUGGGGAAUUUUCCGCAAUGGGCGAAAGCCUGACGGAGCAAUACCGCGUGAGGGAUGACGGCCUAUGGGUUGUAAACCUCUUUUUUCAGGGAGGAAUCAAUGACGUGUACCUGAAGAAUAAGCAUCGGCUAACUCCGUGCCAGCAGCCGCGGUAAGACGGAGGAUGCAAGUGUUAUCCGGAAUCACUGGGCGUAAAGCGUCUGUAGGUGGUUUAAUAAGUCAACUGUUAAAUCUUGAGGCUCAACCUCAAAAUCGCAGUCGAAACUAUUAGACUAGAGUAUAGUAGGGGUAAAGGGAAUUUCCAGUGGAGCGGUGAAAUGCGUAGAGAUUGGAAAGAACACCAAUGGCGAAGGCACUUUACUGGGCUAUAACUGACACUCAGAGACGAAAGCUAGGGUAGCAAAUGGGAUUAGAUACCCCAGUAGUCCUAGCUGUAAACAAUGGAUACUAGAUGUUGAACAGAUCGACCUGCGCAGUAUUAAAGCUAACGCGUUAAGUAUCC